ensembl:snRNA U6 U6 spliceosomal RNA
GUUUCAGCAAAACAUAUACUGAAACUGAAACAAUACAGAGAACAUUAGCAUGACCCUUGCACAAGGAUGACAUGCAAAUUCGUGAAGCGCUCCAUAUUUAA